rnacentral:rRNA from 1 species
AAUGAACGUUGGCGGCGUGGAUUAGGCAUGCAAGUCGUGCGGAAGUGGCCCGCAAGGGUUACUUUAGCGGCGAAAGGGAGAGUAAUACGUAGGUACCUACCCCUGGAACCGGGAUAGCUGCGGGAAACUGCAGGUAAUACCGGAUAACGUCUCCGGACCAAAGGUGUGAUUCCGUCCGGGGAGGGGCCUGCGUCCUAUUAGCUAGUUGGUGAGGUGACGGCUCACCAAGGCAAAGAUGGGUACGGGGUAUGAGAGUAUGCCCCCGCUCACUGGGACUGAGACACUGCCCAGACACCUACGGGUGGCUGCAGUCGAGGAUCUUCGGCAAUGGGCGCAAGCCUGACCGAGCGACGCCGCGUGUGGGAUGAAGGCCCUCGGGUUGUAAACCACUGUCGGAGGGGAUGAAAUGCCAUGGGGUUCUCUUCAUGGUUUGACAUAUCCUCAGAGGAAGGACGGGCUAAGUUCGUGCCAGCAGCCGCAGUAACAC